UCAGAAAAGGUCCUACCCUGGUCAGCCUUAGAGGAGAGGACACUGUGGAAAGCCGAAGUUGCCACCAGCUCUUCCUGAGUUAGGCAAGUUGCGCCCUUCCUCAUCUCAGAUGCAGGCUAACUUCAAGGAAACAGCUCACAGCAGAUCUAUAACAAGGUCCUGGUUUCCUCAUUUAAAACUGCAAGGAUAUCCUGAAGGUCUUCUUUACCUCUGAGAUGUUUGAGGAAGGUCCCAGAUGGAACUGGUUCCAGCCAGGUCAUCCACCACUCAAUACUGGAAAGGAAACCAAACAGCUAAAAUGAGGAAUUUCCUUUCAACAAAUAUCUUGUAAUUAUGCUGAUUUUUAAGCCACAUAAUCAGUCUUAAAGCAAAUCCCAUCUCAAUGGAAUUUAUAAAAGGAUUAGGAAAUGGAGAAAAUGGGGGCAUGUUCGCAAGCCCAUUUGAUUUAAUUUAAGCCCACUUCCCCUUUGUCCUUUCCUAGUUUUUAACCGAAUAGGUUGGGGCACAAACAGGUUACUGGCUGCCACGCCUGCAUCUAAUUUUCUCUUUUCCGGGCUGGGUAGUAGUUGAUCUACUUUUAGGGUGCCCAUCCCCGCACUUCUGAUAAUGAAGGAACAAGAAAAAAGAAUCUCUUUGGGGGCAGCCUGUUGAUACUAGAAAAACUUAGGUUAGGAAAAGCCACAAAGACAACAUUAGCCUCCAUCUGGAAAAGGGACGGAUGCCGCUUUGACUCACAGUUGUGCUGUGGGAUUCGGAUCGAAAGCAGUCUUCUGCUUUGCUCACGUUUUAUUUUUGUACAUAACUUCACAUUCUGAAUAAUCAGGCUGUGGAUGAAAUCCUACUCCAUCUGGUCAGCACUGAGACAAGCUCGGACUCCUUUUUGUCAUUGUGGAUGGUCCAGAUUAGCUGUCAGUUUAUCCAAUGUCAGCUAUAUCCAAAUCUCCUCCCUGAGAUCUGGCCUAACUCUGGGCCACAUUGUCCAGCACAAAA